GGAAACAGUUUAUCAGUGUGGAUGGGACCUGCUCUCCUAUUUGAGAUAAACAGAAGACUCGACAUGAUGCGCUGGAGAAGUGUGGUGUGGUUGAUUCCUCCCUUCGCCAGUUAUCGUCUUUGCCUCUUUCUCUGCAUUCCGGUUUCAUCUAUGAUACAUCGCUAGUCAAGAAAGGUCCACACACAGCAUUGCUGAUGCUCUCAUGCGUACCAUUAUGGCGGCACGGAAAGAUGGCGGAAAGAGCAAUGACGCGAUCUUGACAGGCUUGGGGCCACGCCUUCAGUCCACCCGAGCCACUACCAAGGAGCAGUUCAAAUGUGUCCAGCCGGCAGGUCCCUUUA